GACGAACGCUGGCGGCGUGCUUAACACAUGCAAGUCGAACGGAAAGGCCUCAGCUUGCUGGGGUACUCGAGUGGCGAACGGGUGAGUAACACGUGGGUGAUCUGCCUUGCACUCUGGGAUAAGCUUGGGAAACUGGGUCUAAUACCGGAUAUGAACUGCCUUUAGUGUGGUGGUUGGAAAGUUUUUUCGGUGCAAGAUGAGCUCGCGGCCUAUCAGCUUGUUGGUGGGGUAAUGGCCUACCAAGGCGUCGACGGGUAGCCGGCCUGGGAGGGUGUACGGCCACAUUGGGACUGAGAUACGGCCCAGACUCCUACGGGAGGCAGCAGUGGGGAAUAUUGCACAAUGGGCGGAAGCCUGAUGCAGCGACGCCGCGUGGGGGAUGACGGCCUUCGGGUUGUAAACUCCUUUCGACAGGGACGAAGCUUUUUGUGACGGUACCUGUAUAAGAAGCACCGGCUAACUACGUG
rnacentral:rRNA from 1 species